CAAUAGCGUAUAUUUAAGUUGUUGCAGUUAAAAAGCUCGUAGUUGGAUUUCGGUUAAGAGCGACCGGUCCGCCGUUUGGUGUGCACUGGUUGGUUUUAACUUCCUGUAGAGGACGUGCUCUGGGUUUAACGACCUAGACUCGGAGUCUACGUGGUUACUUUGAAAAAAUUAGAGUGUUCAAAGCGGGCUUACGCUUGAAUAUUUCAGCAUGGAAUAACACUAUAGGACUCCUGUCCUAUUUCGUUGGUCUCGGGACGGGAGUAAUGAUUAAGAGGAACAGUUGGGGGCAUUCGUAUUUCAUUGUCAGAGGUGAAAUUCUUGGAUUUAUGAAAGACGAACUUCUGCGAAAGCAUUUGCCAAGGAUGUUUNCAUUAA
rnacentral:rRNA from 1 species